UACCGCGGUUACACGAGAGGCUCGAGUUGACAGACAUCGGCGUAAAGGGUGGUUAGGGGGUAAUUCUCAAACUAAAGCCAAACGCCUUCAAAGCAGUCCGAAUGCAUUCGAAGGUAUGAAGCCCGACCACGAAAGUGGCUUUAUGACUCCUGAAUCCACGAAAGCUAAGAAA
rnacentral:rRNA from 1 species